CUCUGCCCAGCAACCUCCCAGCAGUCAGGGCUCCUAGCAGCUGCCCCCUGCCCUGCCCACUGGGGCCCAGGAAAAGCAGAGAGUUGCUGAAGGUCUCCCGGCAGUAGCGGCUGUCACUGCUACGGGGGGUGAUCUAGGAGUGAACGCCACGAGGCAGGUGGGGAAGGCUGCUCUGAACGUGUCUGUGACUACAGCUCCGUGAGAAAGUUGGGACCCAGAAGGCAAGAAGAGCCACAGGACCUCAGAAGCCUGACCUUCUAUGGGCCCAGAGCCCAGUUUACUAAGAGGAUUAAUCUCACCGAGCCUGUCAGCCCACAGCCAGCACCACUUCCUCCAGGAAGCCAUCCAGGAUCUCCCCAUCAGAGCGGUCUCUCCGUUUUCAGAGGAUACAUUUUGUCUCUCUCACAGCAUUUAGCAUUACAUAUUUUAAAAUCCUUGUAUAAGUUAUUUACAAUGGUAUUUCAGAUUUCUCUCUGAAGGUACAGAUAGUAUCUCAUGUGUCUUCUACAGAGCUCAGCACUAUUGCUAUACAUAGUAGGUACUCAAUGGUGAGUAAAUAAAGAAGGAGCUAAUACCUAUCAAGCUUCUACCCAAUGGCAGGCACUAUGCAGAGAGCCUUUACGUAUCUACCUCUAAUCUAGACAACUGUUUUAAGAAUAUUUGGGUCAGAAGUUUAGAAAUGUUCCUAAGAUCAAAUCAGGAGCUGGGAUUCAAUCCCGGGGUUCUUAAACUUCAAGGCUUGUUUCUUAUUCUUCUUCCUCAUCUGUUUAGAAUUAUGUUACUUGGGCACUAUUUUAAACUCUUCACAUGUGCCAACUCAUUUAGUCCUCAAAAUAAUCCUAACAUGUAUGUUCUUUUACAAUCCCAAUUUUAUAGUUGAAAAAGUGAGGCAGGUAGGAAUUAAUUUGCUCAAGAUCACACAAACUAGUUAAGUGGCAGAGCUAGGACUCAACACACACAGCCCGACUUGAGAAUGUAUAUCUUAACCCUAGCCCUAGUUUUCCUGCCACGCAAGCUAUUAGAUGCACAAAGCAUUUACAAGCCACUUUUUCAAGCUUAUUUUGAAUCAUGUAAUAAACCCAAGGUAGAAUCAGUUUUAUUCUUCCCAUCCUCCCUUCCACUGGAGCCACACUGCUUAGGUUAAAAUCUUGGCCCCACCACUAGGUAUCUGCACAACCAGGCAAGUUACUCAACCUCUUUGUGUCAUUUUCUUAUCAGUAAAAUGAGGAUAACAGCACCUAUUACAAGGGUUGUUGUAAGGAUUUAAUGCAAGCAAAACAGAACAGUGCUGGACACAUAGUGUGUGUUACCUGCACCUCGUAUAGUGAUAGUUUUAUCCAGAAUCAGAGGGCAAUGAAGUGUUCUAUAUAAAUGAACUUUCAAGACAACUGAAGUUUAUCCCCUUUAUUCAGAUUCACAUUUUUCGAAAAUGUAUUGUUACCUCUUCUGUCUUUUUAAACAUGGGCAUGGCAGCUUUUAGUGUGUAUCUGCCAUGUAACAGAAACCAUGACUUUGUAUCCAUCAUCUUUUUUUUUCAGAGUGUCUCGCUCUGUUGCCCAGUCUGGAGUGCAGUGGUGUGAUCACAGCUCACUGCAGCCUCGAACUCCUGGCUUCAAGUGAUCCUCCCACCCCAGUCUCCUGAGGAGCUAGGACUUCAGGUGCAUGCCACCAUGCCUGGCUAAUUUUUAAUUUUUUUUUUUUUUGGUAGAGACAAAGUGUUGCUAUGUUGUCGAGACUGGUCUGGAACUCCUGGAAUCAAGCAAUCCUCCUGCCUGGGCCUCCCAAAAUUCUGGGAUUACAGGCAUGAGCCACCACACCCAACCUGUAUCUAUCAUUUUUAAUCCUGGCAACAACCCUGCAAGGGAACUGUUAUCCCUGAGGACCAGAGAGGUUAACAGAUUUACCCAAAAACACACAGCUAGGAAAUGGUAAGACCAGAAGUUAGGCCCAUGUUUAUAAAACUCCAAGGUCUGGAUUCCCUCUACAAGGCCAGGAACCUGCUCAGGAAGCUGAGAUGCAUCAGGGUUUUCUUUUGCUUGUGUAUGGUUAAGGCAGCAUGCUACAAGGGAGCAAGGGUGGAGGGCUCCUAACCUGCUUCUAUGUAUUCUAGGUCCAGAGUUUUGAUUCAAUUAAGUACAGCCUCUACCCCAUCCAGGUCUCUAUAUGUCACAGUGCCUAGAAGGAUCUUCAACUCAUGUAGAGGCCCACAAUCUGGAGGAGAACAAAUCAGGGUUGUCUCAGUCCUGAAAAGUCCAAUCAUCAUUAAAAGGCCCAUAGGCUGAGCAAGUAGUUCAGUUCAGUCUCUCCUGUGUGUCUUAUAGAGCCUUGGAGGGGUGUGGGGUCUCCACUGUGCUCGAUGAGGGCCUAGGUUGCUGAGUCUUGCACACCUGCUCUUAAGGGCAGUCCUUAGAGCAUAAGUAGCCGUAGAGAGCAAAAGGCAGUCUAGUGUGGUAGAAGAGUAAGUCUCACAGCUGAGGCACCUGGGCUGGAACCUGGCUUGUCCAGCUGUGAACCUUUCCUAGGUUGGGGUUUCUUGGCCAAAUCGCUUCCAUCUCUCUAUACCUCAUAUUUUCUAUUUAAGAGUCAUGAAGAAUAAAUUAUACAUAUAUUAAGGACCUUAGUGCCAGGCUCAGAGAAGGUCCCCAGUAAGUGUCAGCUUUUUCCCAUUUAUUUUCCUUCCCACAAACUAACUCAAUCCUUUCAAGUUCUGACUCCAGAGGAAACAGAAAGGAGAGGCUGUAACUAAGCCCUUAGGUCUCAGGCAGCUGCACACAUUCUAUACACUUAGUGCAGUGGGGAAGGAAAAAUGGGUGGGGUCUUUCUGUAGAUUCCCCCCCUCCCAUGAGAUAAUCUUUUAUAUCAUUCACCUGGAUACAUAACAUUAGGACUUACAUUCCUCUGGAGAGAUUUUAAAAAAUAAAUGGCUUUCAAACAUUUUAUUUUGUGACCCAGUACAUAUUCAAUAAUGAAUUCUAUUUAAUGAUUUUAAAAAUGAUGCUCAUUAACAUACUGAAAAAUUUACAUAUAAUGGAUCAAAGCAAAGAUAUGCAAAGUCACCCCAAAGAGGCAUUAUAGUUACCCGACCAGCCAAACCAGACUCUAACCUGAUUAAAGAUAUUAAUCUGAAAAACGUGUCCAUGAGAGGGGCCCAGGCAUCCCUGGCUGCAAAGAUCAAGCGGCGCCUCAGAGAGAGGAGGUAUCCAACCACCAGCAAGGGAGGAGUCAUGUUCAACCAAUUGUGGGCACUCCAAGCCCUGUGACAACUUUAUUUUUACUGGAAAGUGACAUUCUGGUCUAUCAGUCCCUGUGAAAUUUCUUAAUAGAGAUCUGUCUCUGUUUUAUUGAUGAAAAUCAGGUUUCUAAACUUGAAGGUCAGAUGUUGGACCAGGCUUAAUUCACUCAAGUAAUGAAUGCUACUUAAAUGAGGCCUCCUAGGAGACUGCUGGCCUUUUCCAGUGAACACAGCCCUAACAUCAAAUGAUGCGGCCUUGUGAGAGCUGUGUUUUUAACAAAAAAUUCCAACUGUCACCAUGUGUGUUUUUUAGUAAUGCUAGUAAGGAACAGAAUACUAUCUUCUGGGGACACCUCCUCUGGGAAGACUUCCCCAAUCCUCUCAGCUAGAACUAUUCUCUCCCUGCUCUGGGCAUCCCAGCACUCCUACAGUAUCCUCAGUACGCAAUGCUGUGAAAUUAUGUAAGUAGAUGCCUAUCUUUCCUACUAUACCACUAAUGGCAAGGCCCUCAUAUGAGUCUUCUCUGUCCCUGGCCCACGCAACAGUUCUUAGCAAAGGUCAAUAGAAUAAUGACUUUUUCACUGUGCAUUUUCAAAACUAAGACAAUAGAGACCUUUCUGGAAGUAAAAGGUACAUCAUAGAUCCAUGCAUACAAGAAAAAAAGUAUCUUAAUGUAUUUUUUUUUUCCAGCAGAACAGAGUAAUUGAACACGGAUUUUCAAGUCAGAAUGCCUGGGUUUUUUGGGGUUUUUGAGACGGAGUUUCGCUCUUUUGCCCAGGCUGGAGUGAAGUGGCGUGAUCUCGGCUCACUGCAACCUCCACCCCACCCACCCCCCACACCUGGUUCAAGCGAUUCUCCUGCCUCAGCCUCCCAAGUAGCUGGGAUUACAGGCGCUCGCCACCAUGCCCAGUUAAUUUUUUUUGUAUUUUUAGUAGAGACGGAGUUUCGCCACAUUGGCUAGGCUGGUCUGGAACUCCUGACCUCAGGUGAUCCACCCGCCUUGGCCUCCCAAAGUGCUAGAAUUACAGGCAUGAGCCACCAUGCUCAGCCGACUGCCUGGACCUGGGUUUGAAUCCUAGCUCUGGUGCUUUUUAGCUCAGUGAUCUUGGACAAGUUAUUUAACCUCUUGUACUUCUCAGCCUUCUCAUCUGUAAACUGGGAAUAACAGUACCUAACUUAAAAGCAUGUUAUGGAGGUUAAAUGAAUCAGUAUAUAUAAAGUACUUUAAAUAGUACUGGGCACUAAGUACUAUAUAAGUGCUAACUUGCAAUUAUUAUUUUUAUUUUUGGAGAGAGAGUCUCACUGUCACCCAGGUUUGGAGUGCAGUGGCGUGGUCUUGGCUCACUGCAGCCUCCAUCUCCAGGGUUCAAGUGAUUCUCCUGCCUCAGCCUCCCGAGUGUAGCUGGGACUACAGGCAUGCACCAACAUGCCCAGCUAAUUUUUGUAUUUUUAGUAGAGCCGGGGUUUCACCACGUUGGCCAGGCUGGUCUCAAACUCCUGGCCUCAAGUGAUCUGCCCACCUCGGCCUCCCAAAGUCCUGGGAUUACAGGCAUGAGCCACCAUGCCCAGCCUGCAAUUAUUAUUUUCAAAAAGUGUCUAUCCAUAAGAAAGAUUAGAUGUUACCAAGAAGCAGAAUCCACAGGUCAAGUAUAGAAUGACAAGGUACUCUGCAACAGCACUGCAGAGUAAAUGAAUGGACUUAAUAAAACUUGCUAACAAAAGAGACUUAGUUAUCAUCUACUCUAGUGGUUCUCAAAGUGAGGCCCCUGAGUCAACAUCACCAUCACCUGGGAACCUGUUAGAAAUGUAAAUUUGGGGGUCCAACUCUACAACCUACUGAAUCAGAAAUUCUGGGGCUAGAGUACAGCAAUCUGUAGUUUGAUACGCCCUCCAGGUGAUCCUAUUGCUUGCUACAUUUUGUGUACUCCUUUCCCCUUACCACCUACAUCUAAUCAGACCUCAAGGCCUGUUAAUUCUCCUAAAUCUUUCUCAAAUUGGUCCCCUUCUCUCAGUCCCAGCCACAACCACAUUUUCAGUUCUUACCAUCUCACCUGCAUGACUGCAACAAUCUUCCACCUGCUCUCCCUGCCUUACCUGAUUUUCUUCUAAGGCAAUUCCCCAAAUCACCACCAAUGAGAUAUUUCUUAUAAACACAAACACCUCAGUCUUUUGCUCACAAACCUACACUCUAGUCACACUGAGCUACUUCAAACUCUUCACAACUUACUUUGCCUCCCUUUUUAUGUACUCUUGCCAGAGCCUUGUCAGUACUGAUAAAUUAGUUUUCAUUUUUUCUAGCCUUUUGGUUUUAAAUCUUGUAUUUAAAACAAGGUUGGGCUGAGCCAUAAUCCCAGCACUUUGGGUGGUUGAGGAGGGAGUAUCACUUGAGUUCAAGGCCAGCCUGGGCAACACAGUGAGACCUCUAUUUCUACUAAAUAACUAACUAGGUCCAGUGGCAUGCACUUAUAGUCCUAGCUACUUGGGUGGCUGAGGCGGGAGGAUCCCUUGAGCUCAGGAGUUCACAGUUACAGUGAGCUAUGACUGUGCCACUGCACUCUAGCCUGGGCAACAGAAUGUGACUCUGUCUCUACAAAAAAAGAAAAACUAAAAGCAAGGCUGGCUACUCCCCCCAUAUACUUAUCACUUAUGAUAACACUAAUAAUCGUAAGUGCUUUCAUGUGUCAGAAACUGUUCUAAACCCUCAUACGAGUUAAAUACAAGAAUGAAUGGGAAAAUGUUUUAUAAGAUGCCAUGUAUAAUAUAGGUUUAUUCCAUUAAUCCUCAAGAACAGUGAUUACAUGGAUUAUUUCUUUUGUGACACUGCUCCUCUGACUACUCAUCAUUAACAGGAAUACAGAGUAGUGGUUAAAACUCUGGAGCCCAUCUCCUAGGUUCAAAUUCCAGCUCUACCACUUACUAGCUGCAUAACUGUGGCCUAGUUUGGGUUCCUCCUCUGUAAAAUGGAGAAGAUAAUAGUACCUGUACCUUUCAUGGUUACUAUUGUGAGGAUUAAAUAAAUUAAUAGUAAAGCAUUUAGGAUCAUGCCUGGAGCUUAAUAAAUGUUAUUUAUUGUUAUUUAUGAUGUCCUGUUCCUACCAUUUCCUAUAAGUAAAUUUUUUUUUCACACAAAAUAAAACAAAGCAUGGUAAACUGAGAGUAUCACACUUAGGACUAGACAGACCAGGUUCAGUUCCUGGCUCAUCUUCUCAUCAGCUGGAUGAUUUGAAGCACAUUAUUUUAAGGUUUUUGAGACUCAGUUUCUCCAUUUCUAAAACAGGGGCUAACAACAAUAUCUACUACUUAGAGGUAUUGUGAAGAUUAAACAAGAAACAAGAAGACACACAUAAAAUGCCUAGUAGAGUGCUUCAUAUAUAAUGUACAUUCAACAACCAACAGCUCUUUUCACUAUUAGUAAUACUGUGGUUGAAUUUGCUUAUUUAAAAUAAAUAAUAAAAAGUUAUCAAAGCUAAAUCCUUUACAACAAUCCUGUGAGUUAAGUACUGUGAUGUACAUUACAUGAGGAAAAUGAGGUUCAGGGAGGCGAAAUAACUUUCUCAAAAUCAUCUUUACAUUACAUCCUCAAAAAUGGCAGAAAGAGAUUCAGUCCCAGUACUGUAUGAGUUUUUCAGAACACAGUGCCUUCCAAAAGUCCAUGUCACAAUUUUUUUUUUUUUGAUACAGAGUCUUACUCUGUUGCCCAGGCUGGGGUGCAGUGGCACAGUCUUGGCUCACUGCAACCUCCACCUCCCAAGCUCAAGCAAUUCUCCUGCCUCAGCCUCCCAAGUAGCUGGGAAUACAGGCACCCACCACCAUGCCCGGCUAAUUUUUGUAUUUUUUAUUAGACAGGGGUUUCACCAUGUUGGCCAGGUUGGUCUUGAACUCCUGACCUCAGGAGAUCCACCCACCUUGAACUCCCAAAGUGCUGGGAUUACAAGCACAAUGUUUUUUUUUUUUGAGACAGGGUCUUGCUCUGUUGCCUAGGUUGUAGUACAGUGGCACAAUCCCAGCUUCUUGCAGCCUCACUGGGCUCAACCGAUCCUCCCACCUCAGCCCCCAGUAGCUGGGACUACAGACACGCACCACCGCACCUGGCUAAUUUUUGUAUUUUUUUUGUAGAGACGGGGUCUCACCAUGUUGCCCCAGGCUGGUCUCAAACUCCUGGGCUCAAGGGAUCCUCCCACCUCAGCCUCCCAAAGUGCUGGGAUUACAGGCAUGAGCCACUGUGCCCAGUGACAAAUUCUUUUUUCUUUUUGAGACGGAGUCUCACUCUGUCACCCAGGCUGGAGUCCAGUAGUGUGAUCUCGGCUCACUGCAACCUCUGCCUCCUGGGUUCAAGCAAUUCUCCUGUUUCAGCCUCCCGAGUAGCUGGGACUACAGGAGCGAGCCACUAUGCCUGCUAAUUUUUUCGUAUUUUUAGUAGAGACGGGGUUUCACCAUGUUCACCAGGUUGUUCUCGAACUCCUGACCUCAGGUGAUCUGCCCACCUUGGCCUCCCAAAGUGCUGGGAUUACAGGCGCGAGCCACUGUGUCCUGCCUACAAAUUCUUAUGUUUUAGGCACUGUCUUUAUGCAUAUACAUUUCAUUUCUUUCAUAAAAGCACGACAUGAUAACCAAAAAUAAUAGUUUACAUUUAUUAUUUAUUCUAUACCAGGUGCUGUCCCAAACCCUUUACAUAUAUUAAUCUGUGCUGAUUGUAU
rnacentral:lncRNA from 1 species